rnacentral:rRNA from 1 species
UGGGGAAUUGUUCGCAAUGGGCGCAAGCCUGACGACGCAACGCCGCGUGGAGGAUGAAGAUCUUCGGGUCGUAAACUCCUGUCGAGCGGGACGAACACCUAUCCGGCUAACAUCCGGGAAGGCUGACGGUACCGCUAAAGGAAGCCCCGGCUAACUCCGUGCCAGCAGCCGCGGUAAUACGGGGGGGGCAAGCGUUGUUCGGAAUUACUGGGCGUAAAGGGCUCGUAGGCGGCCAACUAAGUCAGACGUGAAAUCCCUCGGCUUAACCGGGGAACUGCGUCUGAUACUGGAUGGCUUGAGUUUGGGAGAGGGAUGCGGAAUUCCAGGUGUAGCGGUGAAAUGCGUAGAUAUCUGGAGGAACACCGGUGGCGAAGGCGGCAUCCUGGACCAACACUGACGCUGAGUGAGCGAAAGCCAGGGGAGCAAA